CUGUGAAUGUAUCCAUGCCACUGACUUGUACACUUUAUAAUGAGAUGUGGUGACCGGAUCAGAGAGGAAGAGAUGCAUAUGAAUGGCAGGGCAAAAGGCUCUCCUAGCUUCAGGUGAGGCUGGGGACACAGCCAUUGAUUGGAUGAGCUUCACACAGAAUUAGGAUGGUCCUUGAAUUUGAACUCAGAUCCUCACCACUGCUUGGGUGGCAUUGAUGGCACACUUCAUUUCCUUUUA